GAUGAACGCUGGCGGCGUGCCUAACACAUGCAAGUCGAGCGAUUCUCUUCGGAGAAGAGCGGCGGACGGGUGAGUAACGCGUGGGUAACCUGCCCUGUACCCACGGAUAACAUACCGAAAGGUAUGCUAAUACGAGAUAAUAUGCUUUUAUCGCAUGGUCUAAGUAUCAAAGCUUUUGCGGUACAGGAUGGGCCCGCGUCUGAUUAGCUAGUUGGUAAGGUAACGGCUUACCAAGGCGACGACCAGUAGCCGACCUGAGAGGGUGAUCGGCCAAAUGGGAACUGAGACACGGUCCAAACUCCUACGGGAGGCAGAAGUGGGGAAUAUUGCACAAUGGGCGAAAGCCUGAUGCAGCAACGCCGCGUGAGCGAUGAAGGCCUUCGGGUCGUAAAGCUCUGUCCUCAAGGAAGAUAAUGACGGUACUUGAGGAGGAAGCCCCGGCUAACUACGUGCCAGCAGCAGCCGCCG
rnacentral:rRNA from 1 species